UAUUCUUGUAUUUCUAUAGUCAAAGAGAAAUUGACUCAAGAUCCUGACAGUGAAGUUGCAACAACCAGUUUGAGAUGUUCGCUACUCUGUCCGGUAAGAACACUACCGAUCACAAGCUAGUCUACAGACCGAUUUGCACUACACAACUUUUGCCUAGAACUUUCGCAUGCAACCUGCUUACAACUUGAGUUGUACUGUGUAAAUCAAGCACACAACUUGCCUACAUACAUUGUCAUAGGCAAGUUGUGCGCUUGAUUUUACACAGUACAACUCAAGUUGUAAGCAGGUUGCAUGCGACAGUUGUAGGCAAAAGUUGUGUGGUGUAAAUUGGACGUACAGCCACUGUAACUACUGUAAGUCUAUGUGUCUAUAUAUACUAAAACUGUCUGUACCAGUGUGGGUAGAACCAAUGUGAAAUUGCUGUGCUGAGUGGUUAUAUUAUACUACCUGAAAAAAACAAGCAGAAACUCGACGUUUCGAGCGAAGGCCCUUCGUCAAGAGUUAGUAGAGUUAACUUAGUAGCUAUAUAAUCCAUUAAGUUCCAUUGCCCCCCAAUAUGUCUAAUGCCAAACGAGUUUACUCGUCAAGGGCAGAGUGCUGGCGCUCAAUGGGUUAACUCCGGAAUUCUUAAUGCAACUAAGUUUUGAAAGAAUGAAGGAUAAAUUUCGAAUUUAGAGUCAGCCCCUUAGGCAAUGGAGG